UACGGAGGGGGCUAGCGUUGUUCGGAAUUACUGGGCGUAAAGCGCACGUAGGCGGCUUUGUAAGUUAGAGGUGAAAGCCCGGAGCUCAACUCCGGAACUGCCUUUAAGACUGCAUCGCUUGAACGUCGGAGAAGUAAGUGGAAUUCCGAGUGUAGAGGUGAAAUUCGUAGAUAUUCGGAAGAACACCAGUGGCGAAGGCGACUUACUGGACGACUGUUGACGCUGAGGUGCGAAAGCGUGGGGAGCAAACAGG
rnacentral:rRNA from 1 species